CAACUUUCAGCAAUGGAUCUCUUGGUUCUCGCAUCGAUGAAGAACGCAGUGAAAUGCGAUAACUGGUGUGAAUUGCAUCCUUGUAACUCUAAUUUACGAAUAACACCAAGUGAAUCAUCGAGUCUUUGAA
rnacentral:rRNA from 1 species